GCUUAUUUAAAUGUCAUAAAAGGGAGGUGUAUUUAGAAGGGAGACUUCUGAAGCACACUCCAAUAAACAAAAGGUGAGAGGGCACAGGACUGCUCCAGCAGUCUCCUUAAGACACUGCCUGCAACAGCUGAUUAAUCAUUGUUGAUGACUGCAGUUUUUCCCAUCCUUCCCGAUUUACAUCUGUUCAGACCAAUUCAAAUAUGAUCGUUAUUUAGCGUGUCCCCAGAAGUUGACUUCAGAUGGUGUUUCCUGCUUUCCCUCGGAAGAAUAGGAUUGUUCCUUGGUCCAAAGUAGAUGCCAAGAAUGGAACUCCAUAGUCAUUGCAGAAAGACAAUAUUUGAAGUCUGUCAUCGUUGCAGACAAUGCAUAUUCCCUUAAGCUACUGAGCAUGAAUGUCCAUCACUUGUCCACUCAUUGCUGGGUCUCCUGUAUUAAGCAUUGUGGGGCUAGAUGCUGACAUUGGCAUUCCAGGGUGGGGUGGUCCUCCAUGCAUCAUCAUUGCUGGGUGGUGAGGGUGUCCAGGAAUGUAGGUAUGCAUGGGGGGCCCAUGACGCAGCUGAGCAGGAUGUGGGGGCAUCUGGGGCGGGGUAUAACUUGGCUGUCCCAUAUUCAUACCCAUUGGACUACCCCGAGACACAUAAUCCCCUGGCAUAUUUUGCAGCCCUGUGGAGGAAGAGAGAAAUUUGUGAUUAUGACUACAUGAUACAUAAAGGUAGCAAUUCUAUUAAAUAAGGCCUUGAGCCUGCAAACACUUGUGCAUCUGAGUAAUUUUACUCAUGCCAAUAGUCAGAUUUAAACCAAAGCCACUAUUCAUAUGAGUAAUGUUAUGCGUGUAAAUGUUUGCAGAAUUGAGACCUAGGUGUGUAUUUAUAGCUUGCAAUAAAGCAACACAAUGUGAAUUAUCCAGGUUUUUAAAAAUCUGAAGGAUUUUGGAAGAUUUUA